ensembl:lncRNA
UGAGGGAUUAAGUGGUUUAGGUAAAAUCAUCCUGCUAGUACAUUGCAGAACUGGACGAUUUAGCUCCUGAGGCCACACUCUUUGCCACCGUCCUGGACUGUUUCACUCCGCCACAGUGCCUACCACAGUACUCAGCUACAACUCAGGAGGAAUCAAGCUCCAGAAGAGGACCUUCUUUACAACAACCUGAUGAAAAGUAAUGUGUACGAUCAAGGAAUGUUGAAGUUUGCAAGAUCAAGGGAGAAAAUGUAAAAUUAUAAUUGACAUAAUUAUAAUUAAAUGGGAGAAGACUGCAGAACGACUGCAUCAGCUCUCUGCAUCCUAAAUCUUAGCGCCUUGAAGGCCCAGCACUGCCCAGUAGGUACCCAGUGGCUGAAUGGCUGUCUGUAAGUCCACCUGACUCUUAUUCUCACAACCCCAUAUUAAGCUUCCUACUCCAUCUACAAAGGAUUCAAGCCUAGCAUGCACAGAGUUCGAAGGCCAGUUCUGACCCUGCUGACUCCAGCAGAGAAGAGGCAAGGCUAUAGGAGAAACGAGGGGUAGGAGAAGAGUGGUGGGUGGCAUUCAGCUUUUGAACCAAAUUACAACUGUAAGGGCUGGGGAAGCAAAUUCCCUUCUCCUUCCCCCCAGCUCAUAAUAGAAGGAGCCCAGAGUUGACCAGAGCUGGGAGUAAUGAAGACCCAGGACCCCAUGUAGAGCAAGGAAGUAUCAUGUGAUUCCUGGGAAGGCCUGGGUUUGGAGCGCUCACGCUAUGUUUGAGGCCCUCCAGCUGCUGACCUGCUCCUUGCCUUCCAGUCCUUUACUCCCCUAAGCUGUUUGAUGUAGUGGAUACCUCCUGUGACCAUCAAAGAAGCCACAGAGUAAGGAAUGUUCUAGGCAGUUCCUUUUAAAGAUUUUGUUUUGUUUUAACGUCGUUUAAAAAAAAAUUAAACAACUAGGCAAAAGUUGUAACCAGAAAGGAAGGGCAAAGAAAAACUAGUCUUGAGUGUCUUUGAAUAAAACAAGAGAGUGUUUCGGUUCCCCACCCCCACCACCCCCACUACCCCCACAAUUGAGGGGUUUCUCAGUCCUGAUAUUUCCUUGCUACAGAGCUAAGCUGGUCAGGAAGCUAACUAACCCCAUGAUGUCACAGCAGCCUUUGCCAGGAAGAUCGGCGGGCUUGAAAUCUGUCCACAUCAUAUUUUGUUCUGCCCUUAAAUUUUGGAUAAUAGUAGAAGUGGAAAUUGAGGGUUCCUAAGCAAAAGUUUAAAACUAAGCUUACAAAUUCUGAAUAACUUGGU